GGAGGAUGCUGGAAUCUGGAGAGGCAGGAGAUUGUCUUUGCUCUGAGCUGGACCCAGAGCUUUGGCCUGGGCCAACCCUGGGAAGCUAAUGGGGAAGCAAGAUCGGUUGGAGGGUUACUGCCAUGAAACGCUUCAUCCUAGCAUCUAUGUUAGCAUCUAUGUGCAAGCAAAGCCUAAUAUCCCAAAGAAACCCCCGUCUUCAUUCCAAGGAAACUGAACCCAGGCUAAGCGCAGGCAGCCCUGGAGUCGUCUGCCGCUCAGAGAUGGGGAUGUUCACAACUGUCCCUUUUCAGCAUCCUGCCCCACUUUCUCCUCAGUUCUCUCCAAAUGCAUCUCACCUGCAAGCUAGGUAACAACCGAGCAAACUUUUGGUAUGGUGUUUAAAUCAUUAGCGAUUAUGUUGAGACAGCUAGCAUGGCAAGUUGUUUGACUUCCGUGGGCCAGUGUGGUUAACAUGAAGGAAUAUUCAACAUUAUCAGAGAUUCUAAGGUUUGAACAAGGAACCUCAUAGUUAAGGGAUGAGAUCUGGCCUAGAAAAGGACUUGGAGUCCUCUUCAAGCUUGAAAAAGAAGUACAGUGGUACCUCGGGUGACAGACACUUCAGGUUAAAUACGCUUCAGGUUACAGACUCCGCUAACCCAGAAAUAGUACCUUGGGUUAAGAACUUUGCUUCAGGAUGAGAACAGAAAUUGUGCUCCGCUGGCGCAGCAGCAGCGGGAGGCCCCAUGAGCUAAAGUGGUGCUUCAGGUUAAGAACAGUUUCAGGUUAAGAACAGACCUCCGGAACAAAUUAAGUUCUUAACCCGAGGUACCACUGUAUGUUGGUUACUAGCAGGCCUGGCAUUAUGAAGGUGGCUUCGUCUGGGAUGAAUACCUUGCUUCCUUAAUAAAAAAUUCUCUUUGCAGGUAUUGUUGGAUACCAACUCUGAUAAGCCCAAGCCAGAUGAGGGGAGUCCUCUUCCCCACAAUUCCUCACAGCUCCAGCCACGAACUUCAGGUACUUUGGACCCUGUGGGUGACGUGAGGUGGAAAUUAAUAAUGCAGAGUUUCAAAGUGAAAGAAUAAGAGCUUUGCUGAGUUAAAAUAAACUUCUUCAUAAACAAGAUUGACUGAGAUUACAUACUGACUCUGCUUACAACUGAGGCAGACUGACUCUGACUGAAAUCUUACUGAGAGAAAAUGGCUGCCAAGUCACAUGUCAGAGUGACUCAGCAGUUGGCAGUUAGGCCUGAAUAACUUGACUAGGCCCAAAUGACUGUGCAGUCCCAGCACUUCCCAGCCUGCUUUGCUGCUUCUGCUCUCAUGUGUCUUUGUCACAUGACACUCCCCAAAGACCUGGAGAGCAGAAAUAUAAACAGGCUGGGAAGUGCCGGAACUGCACAAUCAUUUGGGCCUACUAAAGUUAUUCAGGCCUAACUGCUAACUGUGGAGUCACUCUGACAUGUGACUCAUUCUCCUUAUAAGUAGCAGCCAUUUUCUCUCUGUGUUCUCUGUAAGAUUUCAGUCAGAGUCAGUCUGCCUCAGUUAUGAGCAGAGCCAGUAUGUAAUCUCAGUCAAUGUUGUUUAUGAAGAAGUUAAUUUUAACUCAGUAAAGCUCUUAUUCUUUCACUUAAAAACGGCAUUACAGUCAUGCAUUGGGUUAAAUGUGCUUCAGGUUGAGCGUUUUCAAGUUACGCUCCGCAGCGACCCGGAAGUAAUGGAGUGUGUUACUUCCGGGUUUCGCCACUCGCACAUGCGCAGACGCUCAAAAUUACAUCGCGCGGAAACGGCAAAACGCGACAUGUGCAGAUGCGCAGUCGUGUCUUACGUUCUACUCAGGAUACGAACAGGGCUCCGGAACGGAUCCUGUUCGCAUCCAGAGGUACCACUGUGUUAAUUUGCACUGCGCAUCAAUGGGUUGUGUCUGGCUCACUGAACUUAGCAGACAUGGCUAACUUAGACCCAGUAAUUUCAUUGAGUCUACUCUGAGCAGGGCUUAGUUGGGUACAACCCUUUAGGCCUGAACUGGCCCGCACAUUGCAUUCAGCCAUAGGGUGGCCACGUGCCCUACUUUACAGAGGACAGGUCUGUAUCUGAAGGGCUGUCAGAGGACAGUCCUUUAUUUGAAAAAGUCAUUUUUAUUGACUGGCUUGUCCAAGCCUAGUUUAAAUAUAAGGAACCAAAAGCGGGGUGACCAGGGGUAUUCAAUUUGCCCAUCAAUAGUGACCACCUUGACAGCAGACUGAGCAGGCACACAAUUCAGCUGACCACAGUCUUCCCCACUAUGGUGAGAUGUGUUGUACCUAAAUUUAAAUUGUAGCAAUCAUUUGUAUAUUUGCGUUUAUACAUAUAAAUUAGCAUAUUUAAAUUUUAUGAAAGUAGUUCCCGUCCUUUUUUGGUGAUGAAUGUCCCCUUUUCUGGUGAUUUGUAAUUGAGCAUCAGACUCCAAAAUCAGGUUGAUGUGUAGUGAAUAUGAGGCAGAGGGAAGUUCUCCUUUCCUAGUCAGAUUGCUCUAUCGAUGACAGGCAUAUCAAUGGACAUACCAGCAGUGAAAAAGAAAUACUGAGGUAUGCACAACCAACAGAACAAUCUUGGCAUGUUUACUGCCAUACUAUUGCACACAAUCAAUCUUAGUUCCAGGUAAGUGUGUGCAGGAUUUCAGUCAAAAUGACCAUUUGUGCUAUACCACCUCUGGUAGAAAUACAAUUUGUAACUUCAAAUGUCAUCCUCGAAAAAUGCUGCAUUUUGUGACAAUUGGCUAGCUGGUCUUUGGGAAGGAAUUUAUGUUCAGUCAGUGCUGUUCUCUCUAGAAAGGAGGAUUUCUGAACAAAAACCUCUACCUCUUCAUGCCCAAAGGCAUAUAAUAAAUUGAGUCUGAUGCGCCAGUAUGGACAAGUGACCUGCAGCUGUACAGUACCAAUUUUGUUAUGAUCCUUGCUGCUUUACCAGGAGGUGGGUGACACAAUGUGGGCCUGGAUGAGCUUGCAUUUGGAUGUGGGUCAAAAGAAUUUAAUGCACAACCAGUGAAUUUCUUAAGGUCUCGUUGAGGAAGAACUUGAGGCCACAAAUGCUGUGAAAAUGCUGUAAAAAUAUCUACCACUGUACUUCUUUACACUUACACAGACACAGACACAUUUCUUAUGAAGUUUCAAUCAUUGCUUGUGUGUGUGCUCAGCAAUACAAAAUGCAAAGAAAUAAUACUAUCACAUAGCAUCCAGUGACAGAAACGUUGGACAAAAACUUAUUUAUUCAUUUAUUUAUUGCAUAUAAUCUAGGACUGCCAUACACCUGGAUUUUCCUGGACAUUGCUGGGAUUUCAGUGGCGGAACUGAUGUCUGAGCUCAACAACUCUGGCGUUUGUCAAUAAUGUAGGUGUCUCUCCUUUAAAAGCUCAACCAUUUCGGUGAUUUCAUUUAAAAAAGCCCUGCAACUUUCAGGAUGUUUUGGCAACUCUGAUAUAAUCAGGGUGAUGCUCUAACACAGAGGAUGGAGGAGAUAGGUUGAUUGUUGCAGUCCAGGAUUUGAAAUACCAGAAGCAGCUUCAUGUUAAGAAGACAAAUGGUUUAAACCUUGUGUGUGUAAGAAAAUGUAUUUUAAUAGCUUGCUAAAACUUCUAAUAAAAUAAAAUCCAAACAUGUCUUUCUUCAGAGAAGCAUAGAAUCUUAGAGUUGGAAGGGACCCCAAGGAUCAUCUAGUCCCACCCCCUGCAAUGCAGGAAUCUCAGCUAAAGCGUCCAUGGCAGAUGGCCAUCCAACCUCUGUUUAAAAACCUCCAAGGAACUAGAGUCCACCAGCUCUCGUGGGAGUCUCUUGCACUGCUGAACGGCUCUUACUGUCAGAAAGUUUUUCCAAAUGUUUAGUCAGAGUUUCCUUUCUUGCAACUUGAAGCCAUUGGUUUGAGUCCUACCCUCCAGAGCUGGAGGAAACAAGCUUGCUCCCUUCUCCAUCCUUAGGAUGGAACCCUUAAGAUAUUUGAAGAUGGCUUUCAUAUCUCCUCUCAGUCUCCUCUUCUUCAGGCUAAGCAUACCCAGCUCCUUCAAGCGCUGCUCAUAAGUCUUGAUUUCCAGACCCUUGAUCAUCUUGGUUGCCCUCCUCUGCACAUGUUCCAGCUUGUAAACAUCCAUUUUAAAUUGUGGUGCCCAGAAUUGGACACAGUAUUCCACGUCUGACCAAGGCAGAAUAGAGUGAGACUAUUACUUCCCUUGAUCCAGACACUAGACUUCUGUUGAUGAAGCCUAGAGUAGCAUUAGCUUUUUUUGCAGCUGCAUCACACUGUUGACUCAUGUUAAGCUUGUGGCCCACCAAGACCCCUAGAUCCUUUUCACAUGUACCGCUAGUAAGCCAGGUGCCCCCCAUCCUAUAUUUCUGCAUCUGGUUCUUCCUGCCUAAGUGCAGAACCUUUAAUUUGUCCCUAUUGAAAUUCAUUUUGUUAGCUUGUGCUCAGUUCUCCAAUCUGUUAAGGUCAUUUUGAAUUCUGAUUCUGUCUUCUACAGCAUUAGUAACCCCUCCCAGUUUGAUGUCAUCUGCUAAUUUGAUGAGCAUCCCCUCAAUUCCUUCAUCCAAGUCAUUUAUAAAGAUGUUGAACAACACUGGGCCCAGGACAGAACCCUGCAGCACCCCACUUGACGCUUUUUCCAGGAUGACAAGGAACCAUUAAUGAGUACUCUUUGGGUUCUGUCAGUCAACCAGCUACAAAUCCACCUAACAGUUACCUUGUCCAACCCACAUUUUACCAGCUUCCUCAUGAGAAUAUCAUGGGGGACUUUGUCAAAAGCCUUACUGCAACAGAUGUUGAAAAAGAUGUUGACUCAAUUUAUCUGACCAAUCUCAAAUUCUGAACACUUUAAUUCAUGUUUUUCUAGAGUCUCUUUGCUACUUCAUUUGGAGACAAUAUUGUUCCUAGCUGGAACUCUUAGAUAGAAUUAACUGGGCACUAUUCAACAGCUGCUCCCCUUUGCUUCAAUGACAGAUAUAAAUAAUUCUCAGAUUUAUUUAGUUUUUGUCUUAUUCACAUUCAGGAAACAAAUUAGAAUGGUACAUUAUUUGAUCAGAAUCUGCUCCUCCUGUAUGUUAAGAAGUACAAGGCACCACUAAUUUCAUUGGUGAAACUGGCUUGUUUCAAUGGUGACAUUAUUAGCUGGUAUAUUUGCAAAAAUAAUCUCAUUCCUGCUAGGAAACAGCAGUUAAUACAGGCAGCUGUAUUUCUAAAACUGAACCCUUUCCCUUCUGCCCCCCUGUCAUUUACCUCUGUGUAACCCCUCCCCACAGGGAUUUUUCUCCCAGUUUAAUUUACUUCUGGUUUCAGAGGAAAAAAGAGUUUAGAUAAUGAAGGCAAAUCUUUCAGCUCUCUGUACCCAUGCAAUCCUUUUAAAAAGUCUUAAUUCCCCUUUCUUAAAAUUUGAAUUUUUCCACUUUUCAGCCUGACCUGUCUGACAAAACCCAUUGCCACCUAUAAUGUAGAGCUGGCGAAGAAAAAGAAGGCCUUUCUAACACAGUCUUUUCUUGCCAAUGUGAACUGUUAGCAGAAUUGCAUAUUAUGCUAUAGCAAUGCUAAAACUGUCAUUUAUUUUCCAGUUUGUUUACCUAUGGCGCAGGCAGGUUAAUAUGGCUAAUCUAGGAUUGUGCUUAGUUGGCUUCUUCAGAGGUAACUUCAAGGAAUGUUUAACGUGUGCCCCUGGUUGUCAGUCACAAGCUUGGAAGGUAAUGCAAAAGGGUACCUUUACAUUCUGGUAUAGUCCAGAAUUCAGCUACUUUGCAUUGCACCUCAUCCUUUACACAGGAUGAGAUGCAAUGCAAAGUAGCUGCAUUCUGGGCUAUACUAUUUCAGGUCAUAGUUUUUUGAAUGCUCCCCCAGUACCCUACAAGUACCUUAACAAAACUUCUCCUUGAUGUUUUAGGAAUUUUUUUCCUUAGGAAAACACUCAAAACUAUGACCCCCCUCACUUCCACCAAUUGCAAUCUAAAAUGGUACAGUCUAGAAUUUUAUCACCUAAUUUGUGUAAUGUGUCAGAGGAGCUCUUAUUCCAUUCAUUGAGGGAAUGUCCAGCCAGGUUAUUCUGAUAACCCUUCCCAAGAACGGCAAAGUUUCUUACACAGUUAUCUCUUCUGCACAUUAUUCUGCCAAAUAAAGUAAUGGCCUUUAUUACCUUGUCACUAUCUCUGGGUCCCUCUUUCUAUAGUGUUGUGGUGAUUAUUCAUGUACAGCAUCAUAAAUAUCAUUAGAAGGAAAGCUUAAACUAUUCCUUUCGACCCACCGAUCUCUUGAUUACAUCAUUUGCAAAUGUUUUCACUGAGCGCAUUAUGAAUUUCUCUAAGGACUAUAAAAUGUGUUUUAAAGUAAGCACAAAAUGCUCUGAUAAAUAAAAACACUUGAAUGAUCUUCCUAUUGGGUAGGAAUGUCUAUUUUAAAAAUUACACCCCUCUUUUAAAGAAGCAAUUGUAAUAAAAAAUGGGUAUCCCAAAUGGCUAAGUUACAUUCAAUAUUCCAUGUCCCUGUGGUAUGCACACUUUCUGAAAAGCUAAACUGACAUAAACAUUACUUUAAAAACUAAUCAGGGUAUAUGGAAAUGACAUAAAAUAUCAGCACUGGUACUUAGAGCUAAUCAGAAAAUAUUGCUUUGACAAUCCGAAAUCAUAAUAUUUUAUUGUGAUUAUUACCCACUGUGGUAUCUCAAGUCUGUGUGAUCCUGAUGAGCUAAGGCAGGAAGAGGCAGCAUCACAAGCCUCUCCAGCAGACAGAUUGGUUGAGAGCUGCCUUGCCAAAUAACUUGAGAGCCACCCUUCCUCAUGGAUAUGAGCUUCCCUAGGUCCUUGCAGAGGGAAUAGCCCCCUUCUUACCAACUAUGCCAUUGCUGGACCGAGAUGUCAACAUUGUGCGGCUGAUAUAUUCAUAAAGGCUUGAUAUAUUCAUAAAGGCUCCUAUUGCUUUGUGAUAGGAGUUCAUUGUUUUCAUGGGAUAAAUGAAGAACAGAGAACCAGAUCAGAUAUUCCAUUUUUCCCCUCAUGUGUUUUGAUAGCCCUGCAGGGUGCCUUCACAUAUUGGGCAGAUUUUAUAAGUUAAAAUGUAUAAUCAAGCCAUAAAGUGAGACAAUUGUGUUAUGUGGAAAUCUUAAAGUUCCUCUUAGGAGUUAAUUCACUGUAAAGAAGACAUUUGAUUUUAUAUUAUUAGCAUAUGAGCCUGCAAUGUAAAUCUACAAUGUUUUCGGCAACCUGAUAUUUGUGAUUUCUAACAUUUACUGGAAACUCUUCUUACUCUGAUAGGUCAAUUAUUAUCCUCCUGAGGGGGAAGAGGGGAAGAUGUAGAAAUUUGACAAUGCCAGAGAAUGCUCCCUGUUAUUUUUCACUACUUGUUCUGUUAGAUAGUAUCAGGGAAACACAUUAUUCCUUGCAUCUAGAGUUUAAGGCUGUUAGGCUGAUGCCAAAGAUAAGUAAGAGAGAUGAACUAUAGCAAAAGUCUAAAUGCCAUCUGAAAGCAAGAUGGCUCUGUUUAGUUACAGAAUACCCCCCCCCCCCCGCAAUGGCUACUUGUAAUGGGUUAUUGUGUUAGGAGCCACAGAGCUGCCUCCAGUUCACUUUAAUUUAUUGUUGCAAUAGCUCAUGUACUUCAACAGCCUAAAGAGCAUUUCCCACAGAUUAGUUAAUAAGAUGCAGCCCCGAGAAAGGCCCAGUGACUCUGUUUGUUACCGUCUGCUUAGCGCUGCUCUGGCUACAAUAUGCCAGUGCUGAAGUCAGUGAAACGGCAAAGGCAUCAUCAGCACACCAUCGUCCAAGGAGAAGGCAAGCUGAUACAGCAGGAGAGAUACUUUGUUUAGAGGCAGCAGAAGCUUCCAGCAAAUGACCCAAGCGAUUAGAAAAGAAAAAUAGACAGGAAUGCGAUGAAAGGGCAACCCCAAGCAGAGAAUCAUUAUGAAUGAACAGAAGGGCACUUUUUUUUUUUUUUAGUUUUCAAAAAUGCACACACUUAAAUGUAAAGGAAGGUCCUGACAAAGAUAAAACACUAUAAAAGAGUGACACAUUUGAUGGAUGUGUCAUAAGCCUUGAAACAAACACACACACUCAUCAAUUGCUUCCUUGGCUUCAGUCCAGUAAUUUUUAUUUGGGAAAGCCACACGCUAGUGCGGUUUUGAUUGCAGGAAGUGAGUGGUUGUGAGGAUACUGUUUUAUUGAUGCGCUUAGUUCCCCCCCUCCACCCCCGAUAGGGAUGCUGAUAUGAUGGGAACUGUUCUGUUUCUUGGAAAGAAGGGCUAGCAAACCUUCUCAGUUUGUUUUUAGUAAUCUGUCAUCCAGCCCAAUAAACUUCCCCAAUGCUUUUAUUUUAAAAUAACACAAACACAUGCAACUCCCUGGCAAUCCCACAACUGUGUGUGUAUUUAUGUGUGUGCAUCUGUCUAUGCAUCUGCGGGAAGCCUGUUGUGCUGCUAUUAAAGCCAGUGAUGGCCUUUUAAGACUGCCCUUUUCUUAAUACAUUUGAUUUGCACUAGCCAUUUCCAAGUAAUGAGAGGGAGUAGGACUGGCCUUCCUUCAGUGGAUACAUGAGGAUUAUCCUGCUUCCCUAUUUUAAGAGAUGUGCUCUCCACUGCUGGAGAGAAGGAGUACAAAACAUCCCAAGUGAAGAGAGACAAAGAUUGCAAGGGCCAGAUGAAACAGGCCAGAAAGUUAGUUGUGUUUAUGCCUUAUCUGAUGUCACUGUAGUAUAGGAUGUCAGUUACACAUUGUCAAAAAAGAGGAAUUCCAUCAACAAAACAAUUGACAUGAAUUUGCACAAAUUUUGCGUGCACUAAUGUAUAUGUAUAGAUGCAAAUUUAGAAAUGUUUACUACAAUCUAAACAGAAAUAUGCAAUGAAUCUCACCUUAGUGGAAAAGACUGUGGCUGAGUAACUAACUAUUGCUAACUGUUGAUGGGCAACUUCAAGGCUCUGGUCUCCCUUAUUCUGGUUCUUUUAACUGGAUUUGGACCAGACAGCCCUUCAAAGAAAGGGUGCCUUCAAACAAAGGACUGUAAUUUGAUAGUCUUUUAAAGAGAGGCCUUUUUAAACUUGGCCACAUAGCCAGCCUAUGUCAUUGGCACCAUCCUGUAGGUGCUCAAAGCAAGUACUACUGAUUUUCCUGUCCUAAAACAAACAAAUAAACAAACAAAUAAAUCACUGUGUUUCUUGCUUCGGCAACAAUCACCAUUUCUAAGCAAAUGGACUACAGUUUUAGCAGUGGGAAAUAGUGAGUUCACUCCUGAUACCUGUUGAUGGGAUGGGAUCUGAGCAAUCACUGUUUAGUCUCUUCUCACCUUAAUAAACUAACAUCUGCAAGGUCCAGAGAUACUUUUCGUAUAUAAAUGGAUUAAGAGUCAAAUAUAAUUCAGAUUCAAUCAUGUCUCCCUAUCCAUUUGCUUCAUUGGAUUUCCUAUGCCCCAAUGUAUACCCAUAUAAAUAGUGAUGUAAGACCUGCGUUCAUAAAUAACCAAAUGGUGUCAUCCAAAAUCAACACAUUCAAAACUAGAUAAGCACCAGCCAGGUACACAAUGCUGACUCCUGCCCAAAGGGACUUGCAGCAUAUCAGCAUAAAACAAGUG
rnacentral:lncRNA from 1 species